GUGCCAGCAGCCGCGGUAAGACGUAGGAUGCAAGCGUUGUCCGGAUUUAUUGGGCGUAAAGAGUUCGUAGGUGGUUUGUUAAGUCUGAUGUUAAAGACUGGGGCUCAACCUCGGAAAUGCAUUGGAUACUGGCAGACUUGAGUGCAGUAGAGGCAAGUGGAAUUCCAGGUGUAGCGGUGAAAUGCGUAGAUAUCUGGAAGAACACCGGUGGCGCAAGCGACUUGCUGGGCUGUAACUGACGCUGAGGAACGAAAGCUAGGGGAGCAAAUGGGAUUAGAAACCCUGGUAGUCC
rnacentral:rRNA from 1 species